UACGGGGGGGCAAGCGUUGUUCGGAAUUACUGGGCGUAAAGGGCUCGUAGGCGGCCAACUAAGUCAGACGUGAAAUCCCUCGGCUUAACCGGGGAACUGCGUCUGAUACUGGAUGGCUUGAGUUUGGGAGAGGGAUGCGGAAUUCCAGGUGUAGCGGUGAAAUGCGUAGAUAUCUGGAGGAACACCGGUGGCGAAGGCGGCAUCCUGGACCAACACUGACGCUGAUGAG
rnacentral:rRNA from 1 species